UGUGGGGAAUUGGCCAAGAUGGGU
rnacentral:piRNA from 2 species